GACGAACGCUGGCGGCGUGCCUAAUACAUGCAAGUCGAGCGGACGAAUCGAAAGCUUGCUUUUGAUUCGUUAGCGGCGGACGGGUGAGUAACACGUGGGCAACCUGCCCUGUAGACGGGGAUAACACCGAGAAAUCGGUGCUAAUACCGGAUAACACGAAAUGUCGCAUGACGUUUCGUUGAAAGACGGCGCAAGCUGCCGCUACAGGAUGGGCCCGCGGCGCAUUAGCUAGUUGGUGAGGUAACGGCUCACCAAGGCGACGAUACGUAGCCGACCUGAGAGGGUGAUCGGCCACACUGGGACUGAGACACGGCCCAGACUCCUACGGGAGGCAGCAGUAGGGAAUCUUCCGCAAUGGACGAAAGUCUGACGGAGCAACGCCGCGUGAGCGAAGAAGGCCUUCGGGUCGUAAAGCUCUGUUGUUAGGGAAGAGCAAGUAACGCAGUAACUGGCGUUACCGUGACGGUACCUAACGAGAAAGCCACGGCUAACUACGUG
rnacentral:rRNA from 1 species